rnacentral:rRNA from 1 species
GUUUCCUACGGGGGGCAGCAGUGGGGAAUAUUGGGCAAUGGGCGCAAGCCUGACCCGGCAACGCCGCGUGAAGGAAGAAGGCUUUCGGGUUGUAAACUUCUUUUAUUCGGGACGAAGAAAGUGACGGUACCGAAUGAAUAAGCCACGGCUAACUACGUGCCAGCAGCCGCGGUAAUACGUAGGUGGCAAGCGUUAUCCGGAUUUAUUGGGUGUAAAGGGUGCGUAGACGGGAUAACAAGUUAGUUGUGAAAACCCUCGGCUCAACUGAGGAACUGCAACUAAAACUAUUAUUCUUGAGGGCAGGA